GUUCUCUGGCAGUCCUUCUCUUCUUCCCUAGGCCUCCUUAUUCAGAGGAGCCCGGGAGCGCAAGUGUGCCUGGAAGAAAAGAGCUGGAUGCAGCUCGGGGACCCCUCCCCCCGCCCCAGGCUUUGGGGGUCAGAGCCAUGACAUGGAGUCUUCAGUGAGGCAUGUCAGCAAAACAAACACAGCGACAGAGCCAGAAACAUCAGUGAUUUUUGGAACUUUAGAAUCAUCGAGCCAGAGAG
rnacentral:lncRNA from 1 species